rnacentral:lncRNA from 1 species
GGCAUAGUGUGUCUUCACUGGUGUACUUAAUACCCACAGCAACCCCAGAUGGACUUGCUGAAACUCAGUCCAUCAUACAGAGAGAACGGAAACUAUCAGAUCGAGGGACUUACUUGGUCAAGAUGAUACAGGAUGUACGUCAAGGAUGGAGAGCUCAAAGGCAUUUGAGCCUGCCCUAGGCAUUCGGAAACACUCUAGUACCUCCAGAGUCGCUACGUAAGCCAUAUGUGCCCAAUCAGCGUGAGUUCUUUGUAAGUAUUAAAAAUGGCCUGGAGAUGGAGACUAGAGCUAAAGAUGGCAUACCCAGAGCACUGAGUUCUAUCUGUGGCACUAAAUGUCCUGGCUGAGCAAGCCAUGGUGAAUAAGUUAGUAAGCAGUAUCCCUCUGUGAAUGGACUCUGCAUCAGCUCCAGCCUCCAGGUUCCUGCCCUGUUUGAGUUCCUGUCCUGAUUUCCUUGGAUGAAGAGCUGUAAACAGAAUAAACUCUUUCCUCCCCAACUUGUUUUUUGAUAAUGGUAUUUUAUUGCAGCUAUAGAAACCCCAAGGAAGCCACCAUAUAACCUGGGAUAGCAAUUCCUUUGUGUCCCCAGCUUUUGUCUGAAAGACAGGAAGGAGGAAGGGAGGGAGGGAGAGAGGGAAGGAGAGCAGAAGGAGGGAGGAAGGAAGGAAGAAAUAAAAAACCUAAACACUUGUCACAAUUAGAGAUACUUCUAACAUAAAGAAAACAGAAAAAACAAAAUUAUAGAAGACAAAUUAAAAAUAUGCCUUGUCUGAGGAUGUCACCUGUCCAAGAUGCAUAAUACCUGGGUUCUAGCUACAACAUAGGAAAAAAGUAUAAUAGAAAGCAACUAUUUUAAAAGGCAACCCAUGGUGAUAUGAAGACAGUAACACAGCCACCUCUUUUCUCAUUUUCUCAAAAAAUUACUAUUUUCUUACAUUGGAAGUUGUACUGGCUAGUUUUGUGUCAACUUGACACAGCUGGAGUUAUCACAGAGAAAGGAGCUUCAGUUGAGGAAAUGCCUCCAUGAGAUCCAACUGUAAGGCAUUUUCUCAAUUAGUGAUCAAGGGGGAAAGGCCCCUUGUGGGUGGGACCAUCUCCCGGCUGGUAGUCUUGGGUUCUAUAAGAGAGCAGGCUGAGCAAGCCAGGGGAAGCAAGCCAGUAAAGAACAUCCCUCCAUGGCCUCUGCAUCAGCUCCUGCUUCCUGACCUGCUUGUGUUCCAGUCCUGACUUUCCUUGGUGAUGAACAGCAGUAUGGAAGUGUAAGCUGAAUAAACCCUUUCCUCCCCAACUUGCUUCUUGGUCAUGAUGUUUGUGCAGGAAUAGAAACCCUGACUAGGACAGAAGUGCAUAUUAUUAUGCAUGUUACAAAAGUAAAUUAGGCAAGAGCAUAGGCUUAAGCUGUGCGUCAUUGCUCGUGUCUUCUCUGUCUCAGUGCGUGAACUCAGCAAAUGACAUUUCCUAAGAUUCCAAUGUUAACAUAAAAAAAAAAAUGAAGAUAAUUCCAGUGACUACCAAAUGAGACAACUGUAAAAUCAAUCUACCUUCAAAUGUAUAGAACUCAGUCUGGUUCUUAAUACAGGUAAGUUGUUCUCUUACAAGCAAACCUCACUUUCUAGAGAUUUGGCAGAAAUGACAAUUUUUCCACCUGGUCUAUUUCGUAGGCAUAUGAAAUAGAAAGAACUUUUGUGUCUUUACAUGGUUCUCAGUUCGUGCUUGCUGUAGAUUCUCCAGCAGAAGUAUCUAGGAACCAACCAACCUGCCAUUGGUUGAGGGUUUGAUUGGGAACUUGCUCAAAGAAACUGACAAAAAGCAAGUUGAGGGUCUUGUUUUGCAAGCCUUCCCAGCUCUCUGCUUGUAUCCCAUCUCUGGGCACAUCCACAUGAAUGACUGGAACAACCCGGGAGGGCAGUGUUGUAUUAAUCCCGCCAGCACUAGAUGCUGCUGGUAGCCUGUAGGUCUGCUUUCACCACUUGAUCUGAUGGUCUGAAUGGUUAUCAGGAAAAGCUAUUUAAAAAAUAAGACCUCCUUUAGUCACAACACUUGGGAGGCAGAGGCAGAUGGAACUAUGUGAGUUUGAGGCCAGCCUAGUCUACAGAGUGAGUUCUAGGAUAGCCAGAGCUACUCAGAGAUUGUACACAGGGCUGUCUAAAAAAAUAAUUAAUAAUGAUGAUGAUAAUAAUAAUAAUAAUAAUAAUAAUAAAGAUCUUUGCUAUGAAUUGAUGCCUAUUUGACACUUUUUUUUCCCCAAAUGUGGAAGCUUUGGAAUCUUUUGGUUAA